rnacentral:lncRNA from 1 species
AUUGCGUGUGUGUCGGCGCCCGACAGUCUGCAAGUGAGUGAGGGAGGCGAGCAGGCGGCGGCUUGGCUCGCCACCCGCCAUCUCCGGCCAUACUGCCAGCCGCGUUAGCCUUGCCUGACCGUCGCGCUCGGAAAGAAACCCCCGCAACUCUACCACAGAAAAUCGAGAGCCUUGGUUACAACCGACUUAUCCUGCAAAUUGGUAGAGGAACGGUGGUACCUGAACCCUUCAGUACUGAGUCGUUUACUCUGGAUGUUUACAGGUACAAGGAUUCCUUGAAAGAAGACAUUCAGAAAGCAGAUCUUGUUAUUAGUCACGCAGGUGCAGGAAGCUGUUUGGAGACUCUGGAAAAAGGAAAGCCACUCGUAGUGGUUAUAAACGAAAAGUUGAUGAACAAUCAUCAGCUGGAACUGGCAAAGCAGCUACACAAAGAGGGUCAUCUCUUCUAUUGUACCUGCAGGCUAAUAUUAAAAAAAUGCUUACUAGUGGUAGAAGGUGGUGACAAAGAAAUACUCUGGGUAGCAGGAGGAAGCCAACUUGGAUUAAAAUUUUGCUGAGAAUAAUCUAAAAAGGUCCUGACUUGUCCUGGGCAAGCCAAGUCCAUUGCUUCUGCUCCUGGGAAGUGCCAAGAUUCUGCAGCGCUGACUUCAACUGCCUUUUCAGGCCUAGACUUUGGGCUGCUUUCCGGAUACCUGCAUAAGCAAGCCCUUG